CCUACGGGUGGCAGCAGUGAGGAAUAUUGGUCAAUGGACGCAAGUCUGAACCAGCCAUGCCGCGUGCAGGAAGACGGCUCUAUGAGUUGUAAACUGCUUUUGUACGAGGGUAAAUCCCGAUACGUGUAUCGGGUUGAAAGUAUCGUACGAAUAAGGAUCGGCUAACUCCGUGCCAGCAGCCGCGGUAAUACGGAGGAUGCGAGCGUUAUCCGGAUUUAUUGGGGUGAAAGGGUGCGUAGGCGGUCCGGUAAGUCAGCGGUAAAAUUGCGGGGCUCAACCCCGUCGAGCCGUUGAAACGGGCAGACUUGAGUUGGCGAGAAGUACGCGGAAUGCGCGGUGUAGCGGUGAAAUGCAUAGAUAUCGCGCAGAACUCCGAUUGCGAAGGCAGCGUACCGGCGCCAGACUGACGCUGAGGCACGAAAGCGUGGGGAUCGAACAGGAUUAGAUACCCGAGUAGUC
rnacentral:rRNA from 1 species